ACGGGUGAGUAAUACGUGAGUAACCUGCCUUUGACUCUGGGAUAAGCCUGGGAAACUGGGUCUAAUACCGGAUAUGACAAGGAACCGCAUGGUUUUUUGUGGAAAGGGUUUGUACUGGUUUUAGAUGGGCUCACGGCCUAUCAGCUUGUUGGUGGGGUAAUGGCUCACCAAGGCGACGACGGGUAGCCGGCCUGAGAGGGUGACCGGCCACACUGGGACUGAGACACGGCCCAGACUCCUACGGGAGGCAGCAGUGGGGAAUAUUGCACAAUGGGCGCAAGCCUGAUGCAGCGACGCCGCGUGAGGGAUGACGGCCUUCGGGUUGUAAACCUCUUUCAGCAGGGAAGAAGCGAAAGUGACGGUACCUGCAGAAGAAGCGCCGGCUAACUACGUGCCAGCAGCCGCGGUAAUACGUAGGGCGCGAGCGUUGUCCGGAAUUAUUGGGCGUAAAGAGCUUGUAGGCGGUUUGUUGCGUCUGCUGUGAAAGACCGGGGCUUAACCCCGGUAUUGCAGUGGGUACGGGCAGACUAGAGUGCAGUAGGGGAGACUGGAAUUCCUGGUGUAGCGGUGAAAUGCGC
rnacentral:rRNA from 1 species